AGUGAUGAUAAGCUUUGUAUGUAAAUCACUGAUUUUGUGUUUCAUUUUCGCAUGUAAGUUCGUUGGUUUCGAAGAAAUUGCUUUCGUUUAGCCUUGCAUUUUACUGAGAUAUUGUCCGAGCUUCUAGUGCCUUCUUCUCCUCUCUCGAUAAAGUUCCAAAAGUGGUUUGAUGAUGCAGUGGCGGCAGGCUUGAAGGAACCAAAUGCCAUGGCCUAGUCAACGACUGGCAAAAAUGGCAAGCCGUAAGAAUUGAAGGGUCUGUGCGAAAAGUUUCUGAUGAGGAACCUGAGCAAUAUUUUCACAGUCGGUCAUCGAAGAAGUCAGCUUGGUACCAUAGGUAGCCUGCAGGCCUGCCAGUUUCUUAAUCUAAUUCUUGAAGAUGUUUCUUUAACUUUGUUUUUUCAAUAACUUUCUUUUAUUUGCCCAUAUAAUUUGCAAAUAUUUGUCUCUUGCUUUUUCUUAGAGCACUGUUAUUCCUUGAAGGAAAGUCCUCCUUGACGAAUACAAACAGUUGGAGGCAAAAUACUUUGAUGGGUUAAUAUCUAAUCUAACUAAUCAACUGCCUUAGAAUGCCAAAGCCAAAUGGAGAUUGUUCCGCAACGUCUACUUGUAAAGUGCCUAAAGAUCAACGGCCCAGUUUGGGGAACAAGUAAAGCGGCAGGAGGCUGGUUAAGUAUAUAUUCGAAUUAAGCACCGUGUAUAUAGAGAAGGUGAAGUAGAAUUUUUUCCUCAAUUCUUAUCUUAUUUGGGCAUAAAGGUGUACCUAGAAUUUUGAUGAGUUGUGAUAUUGCUUAUAUUU